AUGCCACUGGUUGAUAAGUUCUCCAACAAAAUGAAGGGAUGGAAACCGAAGAUGAUGGCUACGGCGGGUCGCCUCACCCUCACUCGCUCUGUCCUCAUGGCUCUGCCGGUCCACCUAAUGGCGGCACUGCCAUUGCCGGCCUGGGCGAUCAAAAUCAUCAACCGUCGUUGUCGCAGCUUCAUCUGGAAGGGCAAGGAACAGAUCAAUGGGGGCCAUUGCCUGCUUCCAUGGUCUAGGGUGUGCAUGCCCCGGGAGCUUGGGGGCUUGGAGUUUUGA
rnacentral:rRNA from 1 species